rnacentral:sRNA from 1 species
UUGAGAAGAAGGACUUGGCAGGAGUAGAAGUUGGAACAGGCCCAGGGAGCAGCUCAGCGGAAGAGAACCUACGAUGCUCACGGCCAUCUCCAUGAGUGCA